UACGAAGGGUGCAAGCGUUAAUCGGAAUUACUGGGCGUAAAGGGUGCGUAGGCGGUUGUUUAAGUCUGUCGUGAAACCCCCGGGCUCAACCUGGGAAUGGCGAUGGAUACUGGCGAGCUAGAGUGUGUCAGAGGAUGGUGGAAUUCCCGGUGUAGCGGUGAAAUGCGUAGAGAUCGGGAGGAACAUCAGUGGCGAAGGUGGCCAUCUGGGACAACACUGACGCUGAAGCACGAAAGCGUGGGGAGCAAACAGG
rnacentral:rRNA from 1 species